rnacentral:rRNA from 1 species
GAUGAACGCUGGCGGCGUGCCUAAUACAUGCAAGUCGAACGCUUCACUUCGGUGAAGAGUGGCGAACGGGUGAGUAAUACAUAAGUAACCUGGCAUCUACAGGGGGAUAACUGAUGGAAACGUCAGCUAAGACCGCAUAGGUGUAGAGAUCGCAUGAACUCUAUACGAAAAGUGCUACGGGACUGGUAGAUGAUGGACUUAUGGCGCAUUAGCUUGUUGGUAGGGUAACGGCCUACCAAGGCGACGAUGCGUAGCCGACCUGAGAGGGUGACCGGCCACACUGGGACUGAGACUCGGCCCAGACUCCUACGGGAGGCAGCAGUAGGGAGUUUUCGGCAAUGGGGGAAACCCUGACCGAGCAACGCCGCGUGAAGGAAGAAGUAAUUCGUUAUGUAAACUUCUGUCAUAGAGGAAGAACGGUGGAUAUAGGGAAUGAUAUCCAAGUGACGGUACUCUAUAAGAAAGCCACGGCUAACUACGUG